CCUAACACAUGCAAGUCGAACGGGGCUUAGGAAAGCUUGCUUUCCGAAGCCUAGUGGCGGACGGGUGAGUAACGCGUGACGUAACCUGCCUUUCAGGAGGGGAAUAACGUUCUAGAAAAGAACGCUAAUACCGCAUAACGUACAGUUACCGCAAUUGGUAGCAGUAACCAAAGGAGCAAUCCCGCUGAGAGAGUGGACUCGCGUCCGUAUUAGCUAGUUGGUAGGGGUAAAGGCCUACCAAGGCGACGAUCGGUAGCCGGACUGAGAGGUUGAACGGCCACAGUUGGGACUGAGACACGGCCCAGACUCCGUACGGGGAGGCAGCAGGUGGGGGAUAUUGCACAAUGGGGGAAAACCCUGAUGCAGCAACGCCGCGUGUGGGAAGAAGGUUUUCGGAUUGUAAACCACUGUUCUUGGUGAAGAUAAUGACGGUAACCAAGGAGAAAGCUCCGGCUAACUACGUGCCAGCAGCCGCGGUAA
rnacentral:rRNA from 1 species